rnacentral:rRNA from 1 species
AGUGGACGCUGGCGGUAGGCCUAACACAUGCAAGUCGAACGGCAGCACAGUAAGAGCUUGCUCUUACGGGUGGCGAGUGGCGGACGGGUGAGGAAUACAUCGGAAUCUACUUUUUCGUGGGGGAUAACGUAGGGAAACUUACGCUAAUACCGCAUACGACCUACGGGUGAAAGCAGGGGAUCUUCGGACCUUGCGCGAUUGAAUGAGCCGAUGUCGGAUUAGCUAGUUGGCGGGGUAAAGGCCCACCAAGGCGACGAUCCGUAGCUGGUCUGAGAGGAUGAUCAGCCACCCUGGAACGGAGACACGGUCCAGACUCCUACGGGAGGCAGCAGUGGGGAAUAUUGGACAAUGGGCGCAAGCCUGAUCCAGCCAGACCGCGUGGGUGAAGAAGGCCUUCGGGUUGUAAAGCCCUUUUGUUGGGAAAGAAAAGCAGCAGGUUAAUACCCCGCUGUUCUGACGGUACCCAAAGAAUAAGCACCGGCUAACUUCGUG